GAGUUUGAUUCUGGCUCAGGACGAACGCUGGCGGCGUGCGUAACACAUGCAAGUUGAACGACGGUGUCAUGAAGUGGUAACACGGAAUGGCAUACGGAGUAGCGGACGGGUGAGUACAACAUGAGAAGCUGUCCAAUAGUGGGGGAUAACGUUCGGAAACGGACCCUAAUACCCCAUAGGCCUUUUGGUUAAAGCAGCGAUGCGCUAUUGGAGGUGCUCGUGUCCUAUCAGCUGGUUGGUGAGGUAACGGCUCACCAAGGCGACGACGGGUAGCCGGCCUGAGAGGGUGUCCGGCCACACUGGAACUGAGAUACGGUCCAGACUCCUACGGGAGGCAGCAGUGGGGAAUAUUGGGCAAUGGGAGAAAUCCUGACCCAGCGACGCCGCGUGAACGAAGAAGGCCUUCGGGUCGUAAAGUUCUUUUAUGU
rnacentral:rRNA from 1 species